GACGACGCUGGCGGCGUGCUUAACACAUGCAAGUCGAACGAGGUCCACCGCGUAGCAAUACAAGGGAAGACCUAGUGGCGAACGGGUGCGUAACACGUGAGGAACUUGUCCCGGUCUCUGGGAUAACAGUUGGAAACGGCUGCUAAUACCGGAUGACGUCGGAAUCUCGCAUGGGAUACUGACGAAAGGGUUACUGGAUCGGGAGAGCCUCGCGGCCUAUCAGCUUGUUGGUGAGGUAACGGCUCACCAAGGCAUCGACGGGUAGCUGGUCUGAGAGGAUGAUCAGCCACACUGGGACUGAGACACGGCCCAGACUCCUACGGGAGGCAGCAGUGGGGAAUCUUGCGCAAUGGGCGAAAGCCUGACGCAGCAACGCCGCGUGCGGGAAGAAGGCCCUCGGGUUGUAAACCGCUUUCAGAAGGAACGAAAAUGACGGUACUUUCAGAAGAAGGUGCGGCCAACUACGUG
rnacentral:rRNA from 1 species